AGAGUUUGAUCAUGGCUCAGGACGAACGCUGGCGGCGUACUUAACACAUGCAAGUCGAACGGUGAAGCCCUUCGGGGUGGAUCAGUGGCGAACGGGUGAGUAACACGUGGGCAAUCUGCCCUGCACUCUGGGACAAGCCCUGGAAACGGGGUCUAAUACCGGAUAUGACCUUCCUCCGCAUGGGGGUUGGUGUAAAGCUCCGGCGGUGCAGGAUGAGCCCGCGGCCUAUCAGCUUGUUGGUGGGGUAAUGGCCUACCAAGGCGACGACGGGUAGCCGGCCUGAGAGGGCGACCGGCCACACUGGGACUGAGACACGGCCCAGACUCCUACGGGAGGCAGCAGUGGGGAAUAUUGCACAAUGGGCGAAAGCCUGAUGCAGCGACGCCGCGUGAGGGAUGACGGCCUUCGGGUUGUAAACCUCUUUCAGCAGGGAAGAAGCGCAAGUGACGGUACCUGCAGAAGAAGCACCGGCUAACUACGUGCCAGCAGCCGCGGUA
rnacentral:rRNA from 1 species